rnacentral:rRNA from 1 species
AAAAUCGUGGUGCCUCGCACCUCGAGUUGUAAUCUGGAGAAGUGUCCUCUGCAGCGGACCAGACCCAAGUUCACUGGAAAGUGGCGUCAGAGAGGGUGAAAGCCCCGUCUAGUCUGGACACUGUUGCAAAACGAGGCACUGUCUGCGAGUCGAGCUGUUUGGGAAUGCAGCUGUAAGUGGGUGGUAAAUUCCAUCCAAGGCUAAAUAUUGGCAAGAGACCGAUAGCGAACAAGUACCGCGAGGGAAAGAUGAAAAGGACUUUGAAAAGAGAGUUAAAAAGUGCUUGAAAUUGCUGGGAGGGAAGCGAAUGGAAGCUGCGGGUGUGCCCCGGUUGGAUGUGGAACGGUUCAGGCUGGUCCGCCGCUCAACGCGGGGCACUGGUCAGCGUGGGCCAUCGCGGCGGGACAAGAGCGGGAUGUAGUUUCCUGCCUAUGCCGUUGUGGUGGCCGAGGAACGAAGCAUGCGCCUCUUUUGGCGUGGCAUAAUGAUGCCAACUGCAUGCUCGGGACGCUGGCGUAUUGAGCUCUUCAUCCGACCCGUCUUGAAACACGGACCAAGGAGUCUAACAUGUAUGCGAGCCGGUGGGCGGCAAACCCAUUGAGGCGCAAGUAAACUGACA